rnacentral:rRNA from 1 species
ACGCUCGACACCUACGGGAGCAGCAGUGGGGAAUAUUGCACAAUGGGGGAAACCCUGAUGCAGCGACGCCGCGUGAAGGAUGAAGUAUUUCGGUAUGUAAACUUCUAUCAGCAGGGAAGAAAGUGACGGUACCUGACUAAGAAGCCCCGGCUAACUACGUGCCAGCACGCCGACGGUAAUCUGACGGCGGGCGUGGACGAAGGC